GGUUUAAUUCACAAUUUCUUUCAGGUAUUCGGAUACUCUAGAAUGGUGCUUUAAUCGAUUUCCCAAGCUUGCAACUUUGUGCUUUAGCACCAUUUUGGCUUCUCAUUAGUCACAAACACUUUGCAACUGGAUUGAGCUUUGCAGAAAACAUAAGGAGACGAACAAGAUUCCAGCAGCUUAAGGGCUUCAUCCAUCUCAGGUUCCCCAGUUCUUGGUGUGGGUUUCACUGGUUCUUUGUUUACCUCGCGUCCAAAGCUCGGCCACCACAGGGGUAAAUAUGAUAUCUGGAAUGCUCUUUUAGCUCUUCUUCCUCAUCAGUUCUUGAAUCAUUAUGUGUGGCUUUCCAUUAGCUAGAAGGGGAAGUUACCAAUUGUAAAAUUUAGAAGGAUCUGGUCACAAUUUCAAGGAUGUUGAAACCGAAAUCAUUAUUGAUGAAGAAGAUUGGGAAUAAGCCAUCUGCCAAAAAUGUUACAACAGAGUUGCAACUAGAGCAUCCCCCGCAACAACAGAAAAAGCAGCCACAACAAUCAGGAAAGAGACUG